AGAGUUUGAUCCUGGCUCAGGACGAACGCUGGCGGCGUGCCUAACACAUGCAAGUCGAACGGGACCGGGGGCAACUCCGGUUCAGUGGCAGAUGGGUGCGUAACGCGUGAGGAACUUGUCCGACGGUGGGGGAUAGCCGGCCCAACGGCCGGGUAAUACCGCAUGUGCUCGAGCUGGGGCAUCCUGGCGCGAGCAAAGCAGCCGCAAGGUUGCGCCGACGGAGGGACUCGCGACCUAUCAGCUAGUUGGCGGGGUAACGGCCCACCAAGGCGACGACGGGUAGCUGGUCUGAGAGGAUGGCCAGCCACAUUGGGACUGAGACACGGCCCAGACUCCUACGGGAGGCAGCAGUGGGGAAUAUUGCGCAAUGGCCGCAAGGCUGACGCAGCGACGCCGCGUGUGGGAUGACGGCCCUCGGGUUGUAAACCACUGUCGGGAGGGAAGAAUACGGGGCCUCGAAUAGGGGACCCUGGGUGACGGUACCUCCAAAGGAAGCACCGGCUAACUCCGUGCCAGCAGCCGCGGUAAUACGGAGGGUGCGAGCGUUGUCCGGAAUCACUGGGCGUAAAGGGCGCGUAGGCGGUUCGUUAAGUUGCUGGUGAAAUCCCGGGGCUCAACUCCGGGGCUGCCGGCAAGACUGGCGGGCUAGAGCACGGUAGAGGCAGAUGGAAUUCCCGGUGUAGCGGUGGAAUGCGUAGAGAUCGGGAAGAAUACCGGUGGCGAAGGCGUUCUGCUGGGCCGUUGCUGACGCUGAGGCGCGACAGCGUGGGGAGCAAACAGGAUUAGAUACCCCGGUAGUCC
rnacentral:rRNA from 1 species